CCUACGGGAGGCUGCAGUGAGGAAUAUUGGUCAAUGGCCGCAGGGCUGAACCAGCCAAGUCGCGUGAGGGAUGACGGUCCUAUGGAUUGUAUACCUCUUUUGUCAGGGAGCAAAGGGCGCCACGUGUGGCGCUUUGCGAGUACCUGAAGAAAAAGCAUCGGCUAACUCCGUGCCAGCAGCCGCGGUAAUACGGAGGAUGCGAGCGUUAUCCGGAUUUAUUGGGUUUAAAGGGUGCGCAGGCGGAAUGUCAAGUCAGCGGUAAAAUUUCGGGGCUCAACCCCGUCGUGCCGUUGAAACUGGCGUUCUUGAGUGAGCGAGAAGUAUGCGGAAUGCGUGAUGUAGCGGUGAAAUGCAUAGAUAUCACGCAGAACUCCGAUUGCGAAGGCAGCAUACCGGCGCUCAACUGACGCUCAUGCACGAAAGCGUGGGUAUCGAACAGGAUUAGAUACCCGGGUAGUC
rnacentral:rRNA from 1 species